GAUGAACGCUGGCGGCGUGCCUAAUACAUGCAAGUCGAGCGAACAGACGAGGAGCUUGCUCUUCUGACGUUAGCGGCGGACGGGUGAUCAACACGUGGAUAACCUACCUAUAAGACUGGCAUAACUUCGGGAAACCGGCGCUAAUACCGGAUAAUAUAUUGAACCGCAUGGUUCUAUAGUGAAAGACGGUUCUGCUGUCCCUUAUAGAUGGAUCCGCGCCGCAUUAGCUAGUUGGUAAGGUAACGGCUUACCAACGCAACGACGCGUAGCCGACCGGAGAGGGUGAUCGGCCACACUGGAACUGGGACACCGUCCAGACUCCUGCGGGAGGCAGCAGUCGGGAAUCUUCCGCAAUGGGCGAAAGCCUGACGCAGCAACGCCGCAUGAGUGAUGAGGCUCUUCGGAUCGUAACACUCUGUUAGUAGGGAAGAACAAAUGUGUACGUAAAUAUGCACGUCUUGACGGUACCUAAUCAGAAAGCCACGGAUAACUUCGUG
rnacentral:rRNA from 1 species